rnacentral:rRNA from 1 species
GAUGAACGCUGGCGGCGUGCCUAACACAUGCAAGUCGAACGGACUUAUAUUGAAACCUAGUGAUUUAUGAGUUAGUGGCGGACGGGUGAGUAACGCGUGGAAAACCUGCCGUAUACCGGGGGAUAACACUUAGAAAUAGGUGCUAAUACCGCAUAAGCGCACAGUGUCGCAUGACGCAGUGUGAAAAACUUCGGUGGUAUACGAUGGACCCGCGUCUGAUUAGCCAGUUGGCAGGGUAACGGCCUACCAAAGCGACGAUCAGUAGCCGGCCUGAGAGGGUGAACGGCCACAUUGGGACUGAGACACGGCCCAA